CGGCAUAACAUUUCUCUAUCAAUGUGCACAACCACCGUCAUAUUCGUCCCUCCGGAACUUACUACUUCUAUUCAGUAUCAGCAACAGAAUCACCUUCAUAUUUACACAAACAAUAUUCACUCGCGCAUUUUUCCUUACCAUUCAAUUCUCUCUCAUUUCUCCAUCGCAAUUGAACUUCAAAUACAAAGAAAAAAAAAUAGAAACACGAAACCCUAA